GCAUUUCAUCAGCUCCCCUCUUUGUGAAGAUACAGAGUAGAGAAGAUAAAAAAAUGAUACUGAAUUCUGCUUUUUCUGGAUUUGUUCAAUGGAAAAUUCCGAAGAAAAUGGUAAAUUUAGCUGCUUCUGGUACAAAUAAUUUAAAUACAGAGAAGCUACGAGAACAACUAGACCAUCUUCAUAAGGAAGCACAAAGCACAAGAAAUAAAGCAAAUAAUGCAAGAUUGAGGCUACUUCGGUUGUCUGAAGCAGCAGAGAGAUUUCGGCGACAAGCAGCCAUUAGUGUUCGAACAAGAAAGGAGAAUGACGCCAGGGAGCUACUUUUUCAAAAGAAGAAGAUUAUGCAAGCCAUGGAGAAGUCAAAGAGUCGCAUUGAAUUGCUCGAUGAACUUGCAGCAAAGCUCAAUGAGGCGAUAUCUAUGAGGGAGAAGCAGUUGAUUGGAAAUGUUGCUUUAGAUCUUGAGAUUGCUAUAGAUGAUGCUCCAAGUCCCGUCCGAAUAGUAUCUCCAAAGGAUGAUAAUGCAGACAAUUCAGAUGAAAAUGAAGACGUUGACCUGGAAACUAUAAAAUUAGAUGAUAGUCAAGAAUUGCAAGCUCCCUAUGAUGGUAAUGCAGACCUUAAAACUGAUAAUGAAUUGAAAAAUCUUGAGGUAUCAACAAGUGGGAACAUGUCCAAGGAAGCCGACAGGAUCAAUAGUUUAAAGGGGGUAUCUUCAUACGAGGAGUUUCUGGAGCAUAUAGACCAACAACUAAGAGAUAUUGAAGUAGAACUUGUCACCUUUUUGAGAUUUUCAUCCUUAAUACUUGAAAACAAAGAUAAACUAGAAAACUCAAAGGUACAGCAAGCACUGGACGUUCUCGAGGGUGUUCAUCAGCUUAGAGGGAGAAUUGAAAGCAUAGUGCAGAAAAAAGCCGGUGUACAUUGAAGUUUCUUUGCACUAUAUGCAAUUCUUGCAGUGGCUGAUGUUAAGGCAAAAGUUCAUUUCUUUGGGGUUCCUGUUGGUGGUUGGACUUCACUAAGAUCCUAAGCACUCUCUCAGAGAAUCAAGUUGCUGUAAGAUAAUAAGGAUAUCCAUGGCAAACGCGCAUAAUGUAGCUGCCUCUGUGUCCAAUUCCAGUUGCUGAAGAUCCUAUACAAGCUUCUUUCAUUUGUUUAAGAUACUGAAAGUUUUUGUAUACCCUCUACUGAAUAAUCUUCAUAUUCUGCAGACUAUGGUAUAUUCUUAAUUUUGUUAAUCUUUUUACUGAUUAUGUAUCCUGUACUUAUUUAAAUCCUUGCAGUUAGCAUAUGGUAGCUUUAUUUGCCCUAUU